CUAAUUAGUUGCCAUCCAUAUAUCCUCUUUCAUAAAUAAUUUUAAUUGGGUUAUUUUCUUACCCUUGAGUUUUUGUGUUUCUAGCAUACAGAUCCUAUGCAGGUUUUGUUAGAUUUAGAUCUAUUUCAUUUCGGAGCUCUUUUGGGUGAUUUAUUUUCUUAAAUUAUGGUUGUUAAUUGUCCACUACUGGCAUAUAGAAGUGUGAUUGGUUUUUGUGUAUUGACCUUGUAUUCUGCAACCUUGAUCAAUUUAUUAGCUUUAAAAACUUUUUCUGUAGAUUCCUUGGAAUUUUUUACAUAGACAAUCAUGUUAUAUGUGAACAGGAACAGUUUCAUUUCUUCUUGUCCACUCUAUAUGCCGUUUAUUUGUUUGUUUCCUUAUUGUACUUGCUUUAUUUCCUAAGAUGCGCAAUAAAGGAAUGUAGAAGAACGUUGGAAGAGAAGCAUUCUCACCUAUUGCUGAUCUUAACAGGAGCCAUAUGAAAAUGGAGCAGUAUGCGAGGCAAAUGUUUAUGCCUGGAGAACCCAGGUAGGUAUAGAUAAUACCAGCACCACUGGAGAGACAUAGCAAUUUGAUGCCCUUUCUCUCCCAUUUGUUUUGACCUUUAUUGAACUAAG
rnacentral:lncRNA from 1 species